rnacentral:misc_RNA from 1 species
AACAAGGCGUACCUGCGGACCUGCGGAGGGAUCAUUAUGAAUUUGAACUUGUGCAGCUGUUUCAUUUAUUUUGAACGCUCGCAAUUCUUUUUCUGUGAACUGUUCUCGAGUUUCUUUCACAAUUUACUUUUGUGAGAGAGGCUUGGGUCAUUUUUGUUUUCUUGAUUUUCUAUUCCAUAUAUUUUUUUUUCUUGGAGUAAUUCUUGCAAAAGAAUGAAACAAAAAAAAAUAAUAAUAAAC